rnacentral:rRNA from 1 species
GAUGAACGCUAGCGGCAGGCCUAAUACAUGCAAGUCGAACGGGAUCCAGAUCAAAGCUUGCUUUGGUCUGGUGAGAGUGGCGCACGGGUGCGUAACGCGUGAGCAACCUACCCUUGUCAGGUGCAUAUCCCGGCGAAAGUCGGAUUAAUACCGCAUGACAUCAUUUAGAGGCAUCUUUCGAUGAUCAACUAUUUAUCGGACAAGGAUGGGCUCGCGUGACCUUAGCUUGUUGGUAAGGUAACGGCUUACCAAGGCUGCGAUGUCUAGGGGCGCUGAGAGGAGCAUACCCCGACCGGGAACAGGAACACGGACCCGAGGACUGCGAGAGGCAGCAGUAAGGAAUAGUAGGCAAUAGACGGAAAUCUGAACCAGCCAUGCAGAGUGCAGGAAGGCGACGCUAUGGGAUGUAAACUGCUUUUAUACGGGAACAAACGUCGGUACGGGGACCGGACUGAGUGUACCGGAAGAAUAAGGAUCGGCUAACUCCGUG